GAUGAACGCUGGCGGCGUGCCUAAUACAUGCAAGUCGAGCGAACAGAUAAGGAGCUUGCUCCUUUGACGUUAGCGGCGGACGGGUGAGUAACACGUGGGUAACCUACCUAUAAGACUGGAAUAACUCCGGGAAACCGGGGCUAAUGCCGGAUAACAUUUAGAACCGCAUGGUUCUAAAGUGAAAGAUGGUUUUGCUAUCACAUAUAGAUGGACCCGCGCCGUAUUAGCUAGUUGGUAAGGUAACGGCUUACCAAGGCAACGAUACGUAGCCGACCUGAGAGGGUGAUCGGCCACACUGGAACUGAGACACGGUCCAGACUCCUACGGGAGGCAGCAGUAGGGAAUCUUCCGCAAUGGGCGAAAGCCUGACGGAGCAACGCCGCGUGAGUGAUGAAGGUCUUCGGAUCGUAAAACUCUGUUAUUAGGGAAGAACAAAUGUGUAAGUAACUGUGCACGUCUUGACGGUACCUAAUCAGAAAGCCACGGCUAACUACGUG
rnacentral:rRNA from 1 species